rnacentral:rRNA from 1 species
CCUACGGGAGGCAGCAGUGAGGAAUAUUGGUCAAUGGACGAGAGUCUGAACCAGCCAAGUAGCGUGAAGGAUGACUGCCCUAUGGGUUGUAAACUUCUUUUAUAUGGGAAUAAAAUGUUCCACGUGUGGGAGCUUGUAUGUACCAUAUGAAUAAGGAUCGGCUAACUCCGUGCCAGCCGCAGCGGUAAUACGGAGGAUCCGAGCGUUAUCCGGAUUUAUUGGGUUUAAAGGGAGCGUAGGUGGAUUGUUAAGUCAGUUGUGAAAGUUUGCGGCUCAACCGUAAAAUUGCAGUUGAAACUGGCAGUCGUGAGUACAGUAGAGGUGGGCGGAAUUCGUGGUGUAGCGGUGAAAUGCUUAGAUAUAACGAAGAACUCCGAUUGCGAAGGCAGUUCACUGGUCUGCAACUGACGCUGAGGCUCGAAAGUGUGGGUAUCAAACAGGAUUAGAUACCCCAGUAGUC